UGCCAGACUCCUACGGGAGGCAGCAGUGGGGAAUAUUGGACAAUGGGGGGAACCCUGAUCCAGCGACGCCGCGUGAGUGAAGAAGUAUUUCGGUAUGUAAAGCUCUAUCAGCAGGGAAGAAAGAAAUGACGGUACCUGACUAAGAAGCCCCGGCUAACUACGUGCCAGCAGCCGCGGUAAUACGUAGGGGGCAAGCGUUAUCCGGAUUUACUGGGUGUAAAGGGAGCGUAGACGGCAAGGCAAGUCUGGAGUGAAAGCCCGUGGCCCAACCACGGGACUGCUUUGGAAACUGUGUUGCUGGAGUGCAGGAGGGGUAAGCGGAAUUCCUAGUGUAGCGGUGAAAUGCGUAGAUAUUAGGAGGAACACCGGUGGCGAAGGCGGCUUACUGGACUGUAACUGACGUUGAGGCUCGAAGGCGUGGGGAGCAAACAGGAUUAGAUACCCCCGUAUAU
rnacentral:rRNA from 1 species